rnacentral:sRNA from 1 species
CUUUUCUUUAUCUUUU